GACGAACGCUGGCGGCGUGCUUAACACAUGCAAGUCGAACGGAAAGGCCCUGCUUUUGUUGGUUGCUCGAUUGGCGAACGGGUGAGUAACACGUGAGUAUCCUCCCCUUGUCUUUGGGAUAACUUCAGGAAACUGGGGCUAAUACCGGAUAGGAGCUCCUGCUGCACGGUGGGCGUUGGAAAGUUUCGGCGGUUGGGGAUGGACUCGCGGCUUAUCAGCUUGUUGGUGGGGUAGUGGCUUACCAAGGCUUUGACGGGUAGCCGGCCUGUGAGGGUGACCGGCCACAUUGGGACUGAGAUACGGCCCAGACUCCUACGGGAGGCAGCAGUGGGGAAUAUUGCACAAUGGGCGGAAGCCUGAUGCAGCAACGCCGCGUGCGGGAUGACGGCCUUCGGGUUGUAAACCGCUUUCGCCUGUGACGAAGCGUGAGUGACGGUAAUGGGUAAAGAAGCACCGGCUAACUACGUG
rnacentral:rRNA from 1 species